rnacentral:rRNA from 1 species
AUAUUAUUAAGCGGAGGAAAAGAAACUAACAAGGAUUCCCCUAGUAACGGCGAGUGAAGCGGGAAGAGCUCAAAGUUAAAAUCGGGGUACCUAGCGGUAUUCUCGAAUUGUAAUCUGUAGACGCGUUUUCAGUCUCGACCCGGGUAUAAAUCUUUUGAAACAAGGUAUCAUAGAGGGUGAGAAUCCCGUCUUUGACCUGGAGUUCGGGGCGUACGAAGCGUGCUCGAAGAGUCGAAUAGCUUGGGAGUGCUGUUCUAAAUGGGUGGUAAAUUUCAUCUAAAGCUAAAUAUCUGCGAGAGACCGAUAGCGCACAAGUA